rnacentral:rRNA from 1 species
UACAGAGGUGGCAAGCGUUGUUCGGAAUUACUGGGCGUAAAGGGCGCGUAGGCGGCCUUCUAAGUCAGACGUGAAAUCCCCAGGCUUAACUUGGGAACUGCGUCUGAUACUGGGAGGCUUGAGUGCGGGAGAGGGAUGUGGAAUUCCAGGUGUAGCGAUGAAAUGCGUAGAUAUCUGGAGGAACACCGGUGGCGAAGGCGGCAUCCUGGACCGACACUGACGCUGAGGCGCGAAAGCCAGGGGAGCAAACGGG